GCAGUAGCCACGGUAAUACAGAGGGUGCGAGCGUUAAUCGGAUUUACUGGGCGUAAAGCGUGCGUAGGCGGCUUUUUAAGUCGGAUGUGAAAUCCCUGAGCUUAACUUAGGAAUUGCAUUCGAUACUGGGAAGCUAGAGUAUGGGAGAGGAUGGUAGAAUUCCAGGUGUAGCGGUGAAAUGCGUAGAGAUCUGGAGGAAUACCGAUGGCGAAGGCAGCCAUCUGGCCUAAUACUGACGCUGAGGUACGAAAGCAUGGGGAGCAAACAGGAUUAGAUACCCCCGUAGUCCCUGUCUCUUAUAC
rnacentral:rRNA from 1 species